GAGAAUCCCACAGGCCGUAAACCCAAGGUUUCCAGGGGAAGGUUCGUCCGCCCUGGGUUAGUCGGGACCUAAGCUGAGGCCGAAAGGCGUAGGGGAUGGACAACAGGUUGAUAUUCCUGUACUACCGAUAACCGUUUGAGAGAAGGGAUGACACAGUAGGAUAAGCUAAGCACACUGUUGGUUAUGUGUGCCCAAGCAUUGAGGCAGUCAAAGUAGG
rnacentral:rRNA from 1 species